rnacentral:rRNA from 1 species
GACGAACCGUCCAAACGUUAUUCGGAAUUACUGGGCUUAAAGGGUGCGUAGGCGUCGCGGAAAGUUGGGUGUGAAAUCCCUCGGCUCAACCGAGGAACUGCGCCCAAUACUACCGUGCUUGAGGGAGAUAGAGGUGAGCGGAACUUAGGGUGGAGCGGUGAAAUGCGUUGAUAUCCGAAGGAACACCGGUGGCGAAAGCGGCUCACUGGAUCUCUUCUGACGCUGAGGCACGAAAGCGUGGGGAGCAAACAGG